rnacentral:rRNA from 1 species
GGAUAAACCGGAGGAAGGUGGGGAUGACGUCAAGUCAUCAUGGCCCUUACGAGUAGGGCUACACACGUGCUACAAUGGCAUAUACAAAGAGAAGCGAACUCGCGAGAGCAAGCGGACCUCAUAAAGUAUGUCGUAGUCCGGAUUGGAGUCUGCAACUCGACUCCAUGAAGUCGGAAUCGCUAGUAAUCGUAGAUCAGAAUGCUACGGUGAAUACGUUCCCGGGCCUU